rnacentral:lncRNA from 1 species
CAAUUCAACGCUUUUUUCCGUGCGCUAGGGUUUGCCCAUCCUUCGGCUCCUCCUGUAGCAGCAUCUCACCCCGCGGUCGCCGUGGCGGCGAUGGAUCUUGCGGUGGACGGGAGGUGCGCGCUGCUGUUCGGGAGCGAGGUGGCUCUAGAAGUAUAGAUAGUCUUGUUUAAAAUAUCUUGGUACGUGUUUUCAAGUGUUCUUAUCUGUAUCUUGAAUGAUGUAUUUUAUCUCCUAUGCUUAUUUCUUCCAUUUACUUGUGCAUUUUUGUCACCCCCUCAGUUUUUAGUCGACAAGCAACUCGUUUCUUUGUGUUUGAUGCAUCCUGGGAGAUUAAGACUGCAACUAGGAGCUUCUGGUUGACUAUUAAGACAAGAUAUUUUUGACUGCAUCAACAAGUGGUAGAGCUAUGAUUUAUCAAAAAGGAAACAAUUCAGAAGAAAUUAAUCUUUUGUUAUAAGAUAUCAGUAGUAUUGUUUAUGCUGUGAGAAUAAACAAUAACAAAACUGUAAGUCCUAAUAUUUGAGAUCGACUACUACAUAUAACCGUAAGGUCAUAUGUUUAGUUAAUUUAAGUGUAUUUAAAUUUUUAUUUAUAGUAUCUACUGUUAAAGUAUUUUUAAUUUUUUUUAUCUCCCAUGUCACUAAAAUUAAUCAUUUCAUCUCUUCUGUCACGUUUGUAGGUUUGUUGAGCACAUGUCCAUACCCUCUUGAAUGAUUCUAUUUAAUUUUAUCUUCUAUCGAAGUAAUAUCUAAUUGUUGAUGAAUAAAAAUAUUUUUUUCUUAUCAUUCUCGGUAACAACACACAUAGGGGUGAAAAAUCAAAGAGCAAGAUCCAAGAGACUAUAACAGAGACUAAUUGGGAUCUCUUGCAACCAAAAUUUGGUACUGGUCAUCCUUAAAAUUGAACAGAAGAAGUGGAUUUUAUAUAAAUGUAAUAUAUGAUAUGCAACAUUUUUUUUUUGUUGAUGGUCAACCUCAACAUCUUAUGAGAGAAGCUAACAAAUUUCUUCAAACUGUCAGUUGUUGUGAACUUAGUCAAAGACACUCAUAGAGCUCCGUUUGGAACUAGUACUAUGUUUUUGUCUUCAGCCAGAAACUAGCAUGGGCUAGGAAACAUUCUUAUCAUUAUUCCAGCAAACAAAUGUGAGGGAACCAAGCUUAGAAUAUUAGUUUUACUAAAUUUUACAAAAAAAAAUAGAUGCUGGUUAAUAGUGUCUUGUGAUAGCUCUUGGGUUUUCCGAUGAGUGCAAUUCAGAUAUACAAUUUGAGUUUCUAAUAAUGUUUUUUUCUAAGCAUUCUAGGAAGGCCUUGCAUGUGCAGGCUUCGCACUGGCAUUCUGUGCACGAUUCUCCUACAUUCUAGAUGCUGAUCAUUGCCAAUGGGGCCUAAGCCAUUUGGCCAAUCACUAAUCACAGGACAGAUUAAUGUUAGAGAACUUCUGACUUGGGCCUGAAUGUUUUCACUCCUAAGUUUGUAUUCCCUCCUUUCUCCUAUUUGCUUUCUGCUUUUAUACAAAAAACAUUGUGCAUAUGAUGGCUUUACACUUGAUCUCUGAGCUUUCAGGUAAGUAAUAUGCUGACCAGAACUCUCUGCUGAUGCACAAGUUUCUUUUUUUACUUUUUUCCCUUUUUGCUUGGUUUUUAUGAUAUUAGUGUCAAUCAAUGCAGUUUCAUUGUUAGAGUGUCGCUUAGCAGAGCUUUUUCAUUUUUCUCGGAUAUCCUCUUCUAGUAUGUUUCUGUGAAUUUUUAUUUAAAUUUAGUGCCAUCCUCGUUUGUGUUUCAAUUCUUUGAUUUAGGAAGGUUGUGAUUCUCAAAGACAAUUGGGCUUCUCUAUCUCAAGUUUGAUAGGGCAACAUGACCUUGAUGGAAUGCUUCUACAUGAGGGGUUAAAUUGGUAUCUCUCAAUCAAGAUAGACAUUGGUAUCUCUCAAUCAUAGUCCCAUAACAAGAUAGACAUUGGUAUCUCUCAAUCAUAGUCCCAUAACCUCUUUUAAUUUUGUUUUUAAGAUGUGACUUACAUUGUGUUUUGUACCUUUAUGUCGUGGCUGAGGUGUCGGCAUGGUUGGGUUCGUCCCGAGUGUGCAAGAUCACCAGCAUGGCCUCUGAGCUGGAGCGUGUUAACCCGAGGUUUGGUUGAGUGGGGGUAGACCUUGUUCUCUUAGGUGGAGGCUGAAGGUCACUCAUUUAGUUGUCCGUUGGGUGCUUGCACACAGGUCAUAAUCGGGAGGGGGAUUUUCGACCCGACCCCUCCGCUGCUUAAGCUAGCAAGAAUUGGAGAUGAGAGAGUUGGAGUGUGUGUGUGUGUGUGUGUAUAUUUGAGGUCCGACCCCAAUGCUAUUCUUGGGGGUGGCUUUAAUACUUGUUGUCGUGUGUUGACGUGCGUAGCUGUUAAUGGUCAUCGACGUCUUCAUACACAUGUGUUUAAAGAUGUCGUCGCCAUGGGUGGUCAGCUUGUAUGUUGGGACACGGGUGCAAUCUGAUAUGUCUGGCCCUGCUUCAUUUGGUGUUGCUUUGGAGUAGCUCAAGACGGGGCUACGUUGCUUCGUACAGCCUCUUGGUGCAAUGUGCUGGUGCAAUGUGCUAGCAACGUAGAUGACAAGCGGCUGCCUCGUUCAGAUCAGGGAUGUUGAGUUGGCUCAGUGUGCUUUGGAACGUUGUGCCAGGUCCGUGUUUGUGGAGUUGAUGCUAGAAUAUGCUAUAAUCACAUUGUAUUAGAUUUAACUAUUUAUGAGCGUAAUUUGAUCUUGGAAUUUUACUCGUAUGUGUUUGGUUGUAUGGAAGAUUUGUGGAUAACUCUUUCUUUUGUGAGCUUCUUUGCGAUUGUUUGUUCCUAAAACAGCUUCUGUUUCCCUUUAAGAAACAAGUAUUUACUCAUGGAAUUCUUACAAUUGAAGCAAUCGCCAUUUUCAUAUCAUAUUAGACAACAAUGUGUCAGCAGCACCUGUAUAUAAUAUUCACUGGUGCGUUGGGUGAGAUGAAACAACAUGCGUCACAACGUUAUGUAUUAUGUCUCGAAAGAAGUGGUCCAAAGUGUUUGGUUUAGCGAGUGAGAUCAGAAAUAUGACUUUACCUCAUUAGACUCAAAGCAAAGGACGGAAAUGCAGCCUUCGUUUGCGUCAAGUUUAGUUAGCUUGUUCCUCAAGAUUACUGUUGCUGGUCUUGUCUUGUGUCAGGUCAGUAGGUCCGUUUCUCAAUCUUUGUAUAGUGCAUGCCUCGAUGAUUAGGAGAAAAAGGAUGUAAGACUGCGAGCAGAGCAGACUUGUCAUAAUCUAUCGAUAUGACAAAGUAAGUACUACUGAUGAUAGGUACAAUUCGACGGUCCAAUUUGACUUAUUAAUAAAUAUAAAAAAAUAUAUAUUUAGGGUUUGAAACUGAAACAAAGAAAACAAUGAAACUGAGAAAAACACUCACUAGCUAUGGUGUAUAAUUCCAUUGUAGUAUGCUUCAAAUUUUACAGGCCUAGCUCUAAAGCUGUGUACAAUUAAUGGGCAGAGAUACAGGUUUGCCAGAAAUCAACAAAACUCAGGUAAUCAAGCGAGUAAUUAAUGGCGGAAAUCAACAAAAAUUCUUCAACACUCAAUCACAAGACCCGAAGAAGAAGAAGAAGGAGGAGGCGCAAAAAAGGAGCUUCCUUUGUGUGUCAUUGAUCAAGUGCAUCUGUCGUCGUUUCUUCCCGGACCUCCGUAGUAGAAAUAGUUCCCCCACACGCUGUUGAUCCCGCCUUGUACGUCGUAACAACUGGGGCGGUCUGCGAGCACUCGCAGGUUCGCCACGGGAAUCAAGCUGUUGUCCCAGUCCACCACCUGCAAGUUCCGGAAGUAGGAAGCCCGGCCGAAGCCUUCUCGGGCGUAAUGCCCGCUCCCCAUCUGGGUGGCGGUGUGCAGCCCCUGCGGCUGCGUGUUCACGAUCUCCCCCCCAAACUGCACCAUGCUCGCGUGCUCCGACAGGUGGCUGAACAAGAACGACGGCCAGUAGCCCACCAGCUCCCCCGACCCCAACUCCAGCCACCAGUUCCCAUGGUUCGGAUCCUACACAAACAACUCUGCUUCAUCUCUGUCCUUCAACGUUUUGUUUGACCGAUAGGUUCUUACCUUCCAGACAAGCAGGCUGAUGUCAAACUGGCCACCGUCGUACGUCGAUGUCGGGGAGAUGGCAGCUCCGAUGGCGAUCAUGUUGUUUGUUUGGAUGAAUCCAGAACACAAAAGAUUGUAGCAUCCGGUUGCUUGGUACGCGUCGGUCUUCAAGACACGGCAUGCUGAAUCAUUAGCCAUAUGAUCUCCCAGUUCGAAUCAGUGGUUUGUAUGACAAGGGAACUCACCGUCCAGUAUGUGAAGAACCUGGGAGAACUGUCACCGUAUAGCUGCGGACUCACCUGUGGCGAGAGAGAAACUGGAAUUGGUUUCCUCUUUUCGCUUGUAGUUCAAAUAGAGUUUAUGAUCGAGUACCUGCCAACCAGCUUCGAUGGUGUUGAGGUCAGUGCCGAAAGAUCCAGAGAUGACCCAUACUUGCGAUAAGCUGAACUCGGAAGGAUUCGUCACCUUUGGUGCCCACACAUUCAAGCUUGCUUUUGCGCCGUAGUAUUGAUCUCCCACCACAUAGCCCACUGCGUGCUGUAACCAUGUAGGAUCUUUACAGGUUACGGAAUACAGGCAUCGAAUGAGCAGAUUAAGCGACGAGCAUCACCCAAACAAUUAGCCGAGACUAACCUCGUGGCCGCCGGUCUCGGAAUCAUGCCUUGAUCUCACUGCCAGCUUCCGGCCAAACCUCUUGACUGAGCUGGCUCGCAGGAUGUCUUCUUCCUUCGUCCUCCUGAUCGGCACGGUUCCACCUGGACACGACUCACCAGAAACUCUCCACAGCUGGAAGCUGUUCUGGGUCGCGGCAUCAGCUCUGUGGCCUUUGGGUCUCUCUGGUGGAUCCUGCAAGCAGUCGAAAUCAACAGCUUUUUCUUCCCCAGUGUAACGCAGCGGUGAGAAGCUUUCGUUCUAUUACCAGAGGUUUCAUUCCUUUCAGUCUGGGAUGAUCGAAUGCUGGUUGAAGAUGAGAGAGCACGCAGUCGAUGGUAUCACCAUCUGGACUCUGUUCAACAGGCAAAAGACUAAGACUCGGAUUCCACGAAGAAGAAAACAACUGGGUUCUGAAACAACAAGUGCCUGAAUUGUCUUCACCGCAGGCUUGUUCAGCCUCCUGAGAUGAGCUCUGACGCGCCUGUAACUCCGAAGCUCUUCUCCUGGUCGGAAUGUGUUGUUGGCUGCGGCUUCCGAGAAGACAGGACUCAUACCAGCAAGCAGAAGAAGAACACCAAGCGAGAGAAGAACCAUCGGAAGAGUGUCGUAGCCGCCAGUGAAUCCGCCUUGUUUCCUUAUCUUCUUCCUCUUCCGCCGGACACUCUCAUCUCAGAUCAAACCUCUUCUGCAAUCAACUAAACCGCUCUGACUCCCACCAAUGACAUAUCAAUCUUCCUUCUUCUUCAAAAGAGCGUGGCGUAGCCUCCUCUGACAAGGCAUGAUUCUGUAACAUGAGGCAACCAAAAGAACAGGCUUAAUUGCUGGGGUGCUGCAGGUAUAAUAUAGUCCUCUCAUGCUGGGAUGGUAAUCAAGAUGUUGGGUGCUUAAAGUGAUGCCCACUGUUUCUUUUCCUCUUCUUCAUCUCUUUCUUUUGUGCCUAAAAUGAUGGGUUUUAUAGGUAGGCGUAGAAAAAGGAGGAGGAUGAAGCAUUGGAAUACAACUCACGAGGGACAGCAGCAUCUUUAGCUUUUCCUUUUUCCCUUCUCUUCUUUUCAUUUCUGGUUGUGUGGGGGUGCUGUGGGUGCAUGCAUGCUCUUUGGGUUUCCUCCAAGUACUUGCUUUUGGGGUUUAAAGGAGGCAAUCCACUCGAUUCUGGGUGUCUUUUUUUCUCAUGUUCCUAGAUGUGUGUUGUCAGUCAUUGUUUUCUUUGAGGGACCUCCGCCCUGUUUCCUUCCCUUUCCCUUCCCAUCCAACGUUUUGGAACCAUCCUUGGCAUAUGGCGUCUCUGCAACACAAGCUUCUCAAAAACCUUACAAAGAGGCAAGCUGUAAGUGGACAGAAUGCUCUGUCAUCUUGGGCUUCUCUUCUCCUCUCCCAUUCCAACAGGCAGAAGAACAGAGACUAAUGGCCGAAACUUGCUUGCCCCAGUCAAAGGAUUAAAGAUAUAUGUCAGUGCUUUCCCAGUGUAGGAACUGAGAAUAGAUUCUGAUCCCACCACGAAGCUAUAAUCUUCUUACCUGUGCAUUCUUAGAUAGGAAGACCGAACCAAAGAAUCCAUUGUGGCCGAAGCUUUUCUCUGUGUAAGGGACUGCAGAGAGGCCGUCCAAAGUUGGCCAAUAUAAUUAUGUCUCGAGUAUUACUGAGCUUUGAGAAAUAAGUGCAGCCAUCCAAAAAGGACACGCCGAGCACCGCAUGCCGCCUACAUAUAUACUAAUGCCAACCCAUCGAGUAUGUUUCUUCUCACAUGUCCAACACCAUGAAUCGGUCUUUACCAUGGCAUGUAUCAACCUCCUCACCCAUCAUCAUCAUCAUCAUCGAGGGAAUCCGAGAACGUCGAACGACCUUUCUCUUUUCCGUUCGGCUCAAACCGGGUCCAUCCGGUCCGCCAUUUGGCCCAGGUCUUCUCAUGGGCCGAGCCGGGCGCCUCGAUUCGAAACCGGUCCAAAUAACUAAGUGGUUCAUGCGGACCUCUUCGUUCGUCGUCGGCUGUUACCUUCUGUGUGUUAUGUACUGUAUAGUUAAUGGUAAUUAUUCGUCGCCACUCUAUAUAGCGGAGAGGAAAGAGAAGAGGCAGUGUGGAUAGAUGAUGGGUGUUCCGCCUCGGCCUACUUCGUCUGCUUCCUCCCCUUCCUCCUGCUCCUACCACUGGUGCUGCUCCUCCGUCUCUGCCUCCUCUUCCUCCUCCUUGUCUCCUUCCUCCUCUUCCCCCACCACCCUCCACAGGUAUUUCAAGGCAAGUAUUAUCUGUACUGAUUCCUCCCCUUUCCACCUUUUUUCUCUUUUUCCGCCCUUCACAGGAACUUCAGGUAUUGUAUCUUCUCCUCUUUGGUUCUUGGUCUUGUCUAUUUGGAAUUUGUAAUCAAAAUGAUGGUUUUUUUUUUUUUUAUCGCGAUUGUUUGUGCGUGUGAUGAUUUCCUUGCAUAAGUCUUCAUUGUCGCUGAUGCCUGCUGCUAUAUGGUUGGAUGCGUCUACUAAUUCAGCGCUGCUGUCGAAUCGACUGCGGCAGCGGGAAAGACUUGCAAGAAAACAGGAAGAAUUAGGGUUAAUUGAUCAAUGGAUAAGGAAGAAAACAGGAGGCCACAAACACCCGAACCAUGGAACAACUCGCCGAUAUUCUUUCAUAGAUUCCUGAGUUGCAGCCUAUAAACCUCCGAUUUCAAAUCUAUAGAUUAAUUAGUGGAGACAUGACCUAGAUUAAUUAUAUGUUAACCAAAGCUGAAAAGAAACAGAACGUUUUGAAGGUAGCGUUAAUUGGUUGGUUGUAAUUGUGUUUUACUGCGAUUGGCACCUAGAACCUCAUGGUGAUCACCUUAAGAAGGGGAAAUGGAGUUGGAUAAUUUUAUUUGACUUUAUCAUCAUGAUAUGAUUUGAAGGUUGCAAUAUCAUCCAUGCUUCUUUCAAAGGCUCGUGUUGACUUCUUUGGCAUCUAGGUUUUGGUCAAUGACUGUAAGGAAGUCAGUAUUUUUUAUAUACUCAAAUUGCAAAGUUGUGCCUUCAUAGACAGAUAUCCUCCUACAUGCAGGAAGUUGUCUUUUGUGUUUGUAGAUGGUGAAUUUUUAGUUGAAUUGAUCAUAACAUCCCAAAGAACAGUAUUUCUCCAACAGUGAUGGUGUCACUGUCUGGACUUCCAGAGAUGACAGCAUUUUUGGUAAUGUUGCAAUCUUAUUAAAGGGAUAACUUAGAUCAUAGUAUUUAUUGACUGCUGACUGAAAAAGUGAUUGUAUGUCUGUUUCUUUUUUUUUUCCUAUUUGAUGGUCUUUCUUCUCUUUCUUUCUUCUGCUGGUUUUCUCCGUGUCCACUGUCUUUGCAACAAAAGUAAUUCUUUUUGCUUUAAAUUUUGUCUUUUGUUUUUGUGUUUAUUAGAACGCAGAAUGUUUCUUUAACUUUCUCAGAUGUGAUUCUUACCUUGUUCUUUGCUGGAGAGAUGAACAUGUUACACCUUUAAUUUUAAUAAUUAGAAUGAAAAGCUGAUUCACAUAAUUUCUUUUAGUCGUAGAUAUUAGAUUAUGAAACAAUCUAUGAACGUUGCCUAGGUUAAGGUUGAAGGCUUUAUUAUUAAAGAUGUGACCCUUGGAUCCAGGCUACAUCAAGGUGAUAUCAAAAUGAAUAUUGCCAUCAAGGAACAAUCUUUAAUAGCACUUUGCGCAUUGCAAUGGUAGAGGAACCGUAUGCAAACAUAGAUCACUUCACUGCAUAUUGCGGCCAUCCACCGCAAGACUUCAACAAAGAGCUGUACAUCUACAAUUAUAACAGAAAUGAUAGUUGAAAUGUAAGAAGAUUUGAAAUAUACCUUUCGAUAGGUGUAACGAGUCACUUGAGGAAGAACGAGCUGCAGGAACUAAAGAUGCAGAAUUGAUACCAUGGAAGAAUCAGCUUUAUUGAAGGUCAAUUUAUGGAAGAACAAGUUAAAGCAAUAUUAAAGAUGGAUGUUGGGAUGAAGUUGUUAAUUGAAAUGGAGCAAAUCCAUUUGAAUGUCCGUCCAAAUUAAAAGAAGCAUCAAAGACCAGAGUAAUGAUGCAAGAGAUUCAUCGAUAUUGAUGCCUUUUUUUCACAGCAUAUGCUGGCUCAUGCCAAUUGGAAUGCAAUUCUUGAAAAGCCUUUACAGUUGCAAAUAUUGUUGGAGGACAAAUGUGUGAAAUCUCUGUUAUAUAUCUUGAAAUAAAUAAAAUAAAAACCUUUGCGAUUGGUGAGUCAUGGCCACCCAUUUCAUGUUAUUGUGUUUGUCUCUUUUCUCUCUCUCUCUCUCUCUCUCUCUCUCUCUCUCUCUCUCUCUCUCUCUCUCUCUCUUAACCAUUGCUGCUAUUCCAAUUGUACCUUCUCAGUUGGCAUCGAGGAGGUGCGUUGAUGGAAAGAAAUAUGAGAUAAAACCACAUAAGAUCCAAGGUACCCUUUUUCAUAUUAAAAUACUCUUUUUGUCUUCAUUUUUUUCUUGUAUUUGUAGUAUGUACAAAAUCUGUGUGCUUAAUUGUAUCAGGAAAACCAGCACAUAAUGUAUAUAGAUAUGUCAGAUCAAAGAAUCAGUUUCUGAUUAGGCGGCUAACUCCUCUUGCUACAUCUGAAGACCAGUCAUCCUAUACUGAGCUUGAUUUGGAAAGUUUGGAGUCAGAAAAGUUAGAUUUGGAUAAUCAAGAUGGCUCUUCAAAAAGAAGUUUUUCUUAUUUUACUGGGAAAUCUGAAGGGAAACCAGGGUUUAUCUCAUUCCAUGGUUAUCAUUCCAUAAAGGGAGAUGAAGUUGGAUCUACUCCAACCAAGAAAACAUCCAAAAUUCUUUGGUUUAUUGGUCCGACCGUCUUGGUAGCCUUCUUGGUUCUCCCAUCACUUUAUUUGCGAAAAAUACUUUCUACCUUUUUCGAGGACUCUUUAUUAACAGGUACUAUGUCUUGUAUACUUUAGAAGUCCAAUCUUUUGAUAUUCUAUUGAUGCUAUUUAUUAUACACACAUAUCUGAGUUUUAGCUGGCUACUCCAUUUUGCUUGGUCAGACACCAUUCUUGGUGUGGUAAUUACUGUGUGAAUGUUUGUGAAUAUAUGUAUGCAGUUUAGUGGUGUGGAUGCAGUACAAUAACAGUUCCAUGAAGGCAUUUAAGAUCAUGUAUAAGUUUCUUUGAGUGAAGGUGUUACUUUUUUCUGGUAGUUUGAUAGACAUUUUUCAAGUAGUUCUAGUAUGCAAAUUAUAGUAUGUCUUUCAUAUAAUCUUGUGUGUUGAAAGGUAGCCUUGCUAGCAAAGUUUCGGAAAAGAUACUUUUACUCGUGGAGCUUUUACUCAUGGAAAAGGGGGCACAUAAUGAACUCUAUUGGUAUGAACUUGGGAUAGAUGUUUGUUAAUCAUUCUUAAAUGAUCACUAAGGUUUAUAAUUACUAUGUUGAAAAUUAUAACAUGAUAAAACUUUAUUUUCAUUCUCAACCUGAAAGUAUCAUUGGACAUGUUGAAGCAAAGCUGAAGAGGUACAAACAUAGAACCCUAUCACUUGAUUUGAUGUACUAGUGUCAGCGAGAAGGACAUUUAUUGAGGAAUUAAACAAUUGUGUCUCAUGUGAGUUUUGAGUGAUCUGUUUGUUAUGUUGGAUUUCUUCUUCUGGGUUUAAUUUGGAAUACAACCUUCAAGAUUUUACAUCUAACAUGCCCGGAGGUCUCAUCAUGUUCCACACUUUCACAGUCCCAUAGAUUCUUUUUAGCUAAAGAGAUGAUGAUAAUUUGUUUCUGUCAAAACACUACCUCAAGCCUAGUAAGUCUUCACUUGCUACAUUUACAUGGUUCACCUUAGAUAGUGCACCCAUGGACUGAAGAUGGUCGAAGGAUUCUUUAUUAAGCAAACCACUGCAAGGUAUGGCAGCAAAAAAAUGGGUUGCCAUGCCAGCUGGCACAUCUCAUGCCAACACAAUGCCGGCACCAAUUUGCCAGGAUUCUAUGUUUUAAAGAUCCAAUGAUAAAAUCUGGAUAAAAAUGGUCAUAGAAAAACCCUAACCUACACUGGGCUAGGAUCCUGUAGUUAUAACAAUGAGGGCCAUAUGAUGGAUGAAGCAAUGCCUAUGAUAAUAAGAUUCAACAUUCCAACUUGAUUGUCUUAUGUAGUAAAUAUCAUCUUCUCUAGUUUUUAGAAAAAUUUUUCCAUGUUCUAGAAUGACAUCUUUGUGAUAAAUAAGUAUAUAUGAUAUAUUGAAAUUUGAUCGGGAUAAAGAUUGACCAUCCUUUGGUGAACUCUUUUAUUUAUUUGUUCUGGCUACAGAUGUUGCAACAGUGACAUGACAUUGCGACAGCAAUGUGAUUCACAAAAAUGUUGAAACCGAAGCCUAAGCUUGAGAUCUUAUGCACUCCAACUGCAGUAAUUGAAAUACCUUCCAAUUUGUUUUGAAUCAGUACUUAUCCUGGACCGAACAAGUGAGAGUUCCAAGGUUGAAUGAAAUUAUUUCCUUCGUGAUUGUUGUUCUGCCUUUGCUUUUCAGGUUAAUUUGAUUAUUUGAUGUAAUGCAACACGAUUCCAUCUCUUUUGCCCAUUUGUUUCUCUUCCUGGUUUUCCUCUUAUGAUAUUUCCGGUACCAAGGCAAAAAUUUUGUUCAAAAUUUUCAUCAACUGUUGCUUCUAUUUUUGUGGUCAAUGGAGUCUGGAAACUCAUUACUAAAUAAUACUAGGUUGCCACCAUGACGUUCUGAUGCCUUGCUGCUCAAUUUUACGAAAUUGAUUGUGGUAGUAAUUUUUUUUGUUUAUAUGUGCAGAUUUUCUCAUACUCUUCUUUACAGAAGCUCUUUUCUACAGUGGAGUUGCAAUCUUUGUUCUGCUAGUGGAUUCUCUAUGGAGACCUGUACAGGACAAAGCACCUAACCAUUACUACUGGUUGAAAACCCAGUAUGGCCUUCGUGUAACUUCUGUAACAACAUUGGUUCUGACCCUUAUAAUACCUCUUUUGACCAUGGGCUUGGUCUGGCCAUGGACUGGGCCAGCAGCUUCGGCUACUCUAUCACCGUAUUUGGUUGGCAUUGUUGUACAAUUUGCUUUUGAGCAGUAUGCUCGUCAUAAAAAAUCACCUGCUUGUGCAGUUAUACCUGUUAUUUUCCAGGUGAGUGCAUCUGCUAAUCUUGAAUUACUGGCAGAUAGCUCAUAAUAUAAAAAGUUUUCAUUCCUCCAGAUAUAUAGACUCCAUCAGUUAAAUAGAGCAGCUCAGCUGGUGGCGGCACUAUCUUUUUCAGUUAGAAGUGCCGAAAAAACAUCAUAUACAAUGGCCAUAAGCAACUCCUUGGGGACUUUGUUGAUUGUCCUUCAAAUCCUCGGCAUAAUUUGCGUUUGGUCACUCUCAAGCUUCCUGAUGAGAUUUCUUCCUCCUUCAGAAGUGAUCACCUAGCCUUCAUAUGGUUCCAAGGUUUGCGACUAUCGAAAUAUUAUUCUAGAGCUUUUCUUGAUAGUUUCCAUGAUUUCAUCUUUCCUAUUGGUUUGCCUUGGUGAUAAAAUAGUUGGACAAAAAAAUCUGCACUGUGUUAUUGAUACAACCUGCUGCUUCAGUGCAGAAAUCAGAUGAACAUUUGUGUGACUUUGGAGCCUGGACGUUUGGAUGCUACAGGGAAACAGAACCUGAGGAGACCCAAGAAUGGUUGGACAAGGGGAAUGUGAAACUGAGUAACUCCCUCCUUUUUCUUUAUUUAUUUUCUUUCCCUUUUGUAUUUUCUUUGAUGCAUAUGGGAAUUCAAUAUGUGGCUAUUUUGAAUAACCAUGUGGUCUCAUCAUGUAAUGUCCACAUUUAUUGGAACCAAAUAAUUAAAAUUCCGUGACUGAUCUCAUCAGUAUUAUUACUGCUAACUAUUUCUAUCAUCAUCAGUACUAUCUAGUUCAUGGUUCAUUGGGACACUGCCAAUCUUGGGGUAGAGUUCAUGUAUUUACUAAUGUAAAACUUGGAUGAGGAUGUCUUCAUCAAAAUUAUGUUGAUCAACUACACAUGAAUUGGCUUACUAUUGUGUGCAAUCAAAUCCAAACUUUAUGUGGAUUACUUAUUUUAUGCAUAAAUUUUAUUUUAUUUUCUUGUUGUUAUAGACAAUUCUCAUCUGUGCAUAUAUUUUUAGGAAAUAUUAAAAAAUGUGUAAUUAAUAUGACUGAAGAAGAUGGUUUAUAAAAUAAUAAAUUAGGCAAUAAUUUUUUAUAUUUUAUUUUUUAAUUAGAUUUUGGAAGAAUGAACAACCCAUUAUUUGGAUUCACAAUUUUUAAAUAUUUUUACCAACUUAAAUAGAGAUAUUUAUCCCAUAAUAUGAUUACUAAGUCUGAUAAAUAAUUUAAUCAUAUGGAUAUUAAUUUAAUAUAAAAUUUAUUUUCUUGAGUGAGCUCAUCAAGACACAUCAAUGAAAGCCAAUUAAUAUUUAUUUGAGACUCUUAUUCUUCAUCUAAUACUAUCUAGAGCAUCGAAGAAAUCUCAUCGAGAGAUUGAUUAUUCGAAUUAUGCAUCUGAAUUAAAUUAGGUUCAUUUAAACAUCACCCACAUCCAUCACAUCAAAUACUUAAAAAUAUUAAUAUAAAAUUUUAGAUUUUAUGUGAAAUCAGUCUCGGUAAAUAGAUUUAUUGCGUCAUCGUCGGACCAAUAUCAUGUAAGCAUGUGAGGAUAAUUACACAUCGCCCACUGCCCAUGGUUUUAAGUUCCCCACAAGAAGUUUUCUGUCCGUGAGUUGGAUGUGGGUCCCAUCUGCCACGUGAAAGGCCACCCGACCCCUUAAAACGCGUAUGGGUGGGCGACAGAGUCAACCAACAGCGGUAGCACAUUUUCACUGAUCCUUCAAGACUUUUGGGAUCUCACGGCAUCCUUUUUGACUUUGACUUUGGAGUGUCGCCCCGACGACUUGUGGUUGACCGACCAUCCUAAAAAUCCCUGCCCGCUCCGAACUUGGAUUGAGCUAGAGACGGGGGAGGAGGGUUCUUCCCCAUCGCAAUCACCCACUACAAUCCAAAAGCGUCGGGUACUCCCUCUGGUUCUCUAUGUUCUGAUCCAUGUAUGUAUGUGUGGUCUUCUCCCCUCGGAUUUCUGAUUUCGCACUUGUUCUUGUCAUAAAGUAUUACGGCCCGAUUUAUAGCUGUCGCGGAUGUUUCUCUUGUUUCUUGCUCCUACUGCUCAAAGAUUUGCAAGCAAAAUCUGUCAGAACUUGGUUUUGUUUCCUCCUCAUAGUUAGAAUCAAUCUGAGCGGAGGUGUCCAAUUCUGGCAAAGAGCAAAAGAGCAAGAAGAUGAGUUGGUUCUCGAUACCUGCAAAGGGUUCCCACUAAGCUCCGAAACAUGAUGUGAAAGAACACUUGUUUUGACAUCUACCACUUCCUUCUUGAAUUAACUUGAUGUUUCCGUCCUGUUCUUUAAGCAAACAAACUUGGUGGACAGUGAAUACAAUGUACAGAGCAACUUCGGAAAGAAUGUUCUGUAGAUACGAUCACUGAGGCUCUCUCUUCAUCCGGUGUGUGGUUAGGUAUUUAUGGUCUAAAGUAAGAAAUGUGACUCAAUUUCUGUUCUGAUUCAUAUUGAAAUUAACUUGCAAUGUUCUUUUUUCUUCAUGGAUGGAUGUUUACGGUUUUGCUAAUUCGACAGAUAGAUCUGGUACUUGUUGUGUUAUGAAGAAGAUUCGAAGUUCCGACACUCAUCCGAUGUCUACGGUUGGUUUGAUCGUCCACCCACUGGUUUUCAUGUUCCUAUAUGGAUUCACCAGAGGAGAUCCAAGAUCUGAAACGGUUGAAGUCAUGUGUGGGAGACAAUUGGAACAUAAUACCACAGCUUAUGUUCCAAAUUUCCUUGCUGUAAUGGAUAAUGUCGGCAACCAGAUACGAGCGGGCGGUUUUGGAAAAUCAACAGUGGGCUCCGGACCUGAUGGAAACUAUGGAUUAGGUCAAUGCUAUGGUGACCUUUCUUCUCUAGAUUGUGCUUUGUGUUAUGCUGAGGCGCGAACUGUUCUCCCCAAGUGCUUCCCCUAUAAUAGUGGACGUAUAUUCCUUGAUGGUUGCUUCAUGCGGUCAGCGAAUUACAGCUUCUUCACGGAGUACACAGGUCCUGAAGACAACAUAAAAUGUGGGAAUGCGACCCGUAAAAGCAGAGUCUUUGAACAGAUGGCUCAGCAGGCUUUACAAGAGGCCACCGAUAAGGCACCCGGAAAUGGUGGCUAUGCAAAGGCUUCUGCUCUGAGAAGUGGGGUCUUGAAUGAGUCGGCUUACGUUUUGGUCAAUUGUUGGCGGACGUUGAAUGAGAGCUCGUGCAGGGCUUGUCUCAAAAAUGCAUCAGCUUCAGUGGUUGGAUGCUUACCUUGGUCAGAAGGCCGCGCACUCAACACAGGAUGCUUCUUGAGAUAUUCGGAUACAAACUUCUUAAACGCUGACCAAAGCAGCGGGCUCGGAAGAAGUAUGUGAUAUUAGACAGAUCAUAGAUUUCUUGAUAUGAUUUACGAUCAUAAUAGUUUCUUUUAGGUACUCGUUCUUCUUGGCUGAUACACAGCUUUUUUUGUUGGACAUAUAUACAGGAAGCAUCAUUGCUAUGGUUGCUGCUAUCGGUAGUGCUCUGAUGGUUAUUGGUGUUGGGCUUACAGUAGGAGUGUUUAUGUGGAAGCAAAGGAAACUGAAAAAGAAAAGAGGUAAUCGAGUAUACUAGCACAUGUAAACUGUUCCAUUGUGCGACAAGAUAUCAUGACUUUUUAUGUACAAGAUGCUAGCAACUUCGUUUCAUAAGUAGCAGAACUAUGUUUAAAUUCAACCUUUGCGAUCAUCUAAUGGUUGUAUUAUGCAUAUUCUUCAGGUGCAAAUAAUGCUACGAGAUUGGCAUCAGCCCUUUAUGAUAGUAGUUUGAAUUUCAAGUAUUCCACACUCGAGAAAGCUACUGGAGGUUUUUCCAUUUCCAACAAGCUUGGGCAGGGAGGGUUUGGAACAGUUUACAAGGUAACGAACAAAUCACAUUUCCGUCAGAAUUUUUUGGUGCUAUUUUUCUCAUUUUCUCGGAUAAAUAAGCUCGAUGGACUAUAUUACCAUAUAAAAGAAUCAGGAAAAUUCUGCAGUUGAAGCAGAGAAUCCAUGAUCAAUAUCUCGUGUUUGAUAAACUUGCAACUGGUUGAUAGGGAACUCUAUCUGAUGGAAGAGAAAUUGCUGUGAAGAGGUUAUUCUUUAACAAUAAACACCGGGUUUCAGAUUUUUACAAUGAAGUUAACAUAAUCAGCAGUGUGGAGCACAAGAACCUUGUCAGAUUGUUGGGUUGCAGCUGUUCGGGACCUGAAAGCCUACUUGUUUACGAGUUCCUUCCAAACAAGAGCCUUGAUCGUUUCUUAUUUGGUAAAAUACUUACGAGACCAUUUUGAUACUGUUGUUGCUUCAGUCUGGCAACUAAUAUGACACACUCUAAUUCCUUCCUCUUAUAACAAGUGUCAAUACUGCAAUUGUAGGACCAGAAGUCUAUAUGCUAGUAGAAUUUUUAGCUGUGUCCGCAUUUAAUUUUUGACAGCUGCUAUUUUCACAAGCAUUGCCUCUUCUCCCAAUUUUGCUGCAUGAUUAAUCUAUUUUUAUUGUAACAAAAUGCAUUCUACAUGGUUUUGACAGAUCGGGAAAACGGUAAAGCAUUAGAUUGGCGUAAAAGAUUUAACAUCAUUACCGACACUGCUGAAGGUCUGUCGUACCUGCACGAGAACCCCAAGGUCAAAAUCAUUCACAGGGAUAUCAAAGCAAGCAACAUUCUGUUAGAUUUAAAGUUUCGAGCUAAAAUUGCCGAUUUUGGACUAGCAAGAUCAUUCCAAGGUGACAAAAGUCAUAUAAGCACGGCGAUAGCAGGAACCCUGUAAGUAAUCUUGCCUCAUCCUUCUGUUUAAAGUGCCAUGGAAUGCUUGAAUGAGCAAAACAACUCUUUUGCAUCACUUAAACUUUGUAUCGCCUGGCAAUUCACAUGCUUUCUUGUGCCUACUAUUUAUGUAUGCUUGAUAAAUUUCAUCAUCUGCUUACAGAGGCUACAUGGCUCCAGAAUACAUAGCCCAUGGACAAUUAACAGAGAAGGCCGAUGUCUACAGUUUCGGGGUGCUUAUGAUAGAGAUUGUGACUGGAAUAUCUAACAAUAGGAGCAAAAUUUGUGAAUAUGAUUCUGAGUCCUCGGAGAGUUUGCUAACUCAAGUAAGUGGCUGACCAUAAACUGCUAUAUUAUUCUAUGGAAUUUGUUAGUAUCACCUAUUGUUUUAGGGUUGUCAUGUUUGAGAAUAAGGCCUUUGAGGUGGUCUAACGUUUCUUAAAGGUGAUUUUCCCAAGAAAAAAAUUUUCACGGUCAUGAUUUCAUGUCUCUUCGACAAUCACAUGAAGGUUCCUAUUCAUAUAGAGUGACCAAGGGGAUAUUCUUCUCAUCGAAAAUAUUAUAGAGAAUGUUUUUCCAUACGACUGAUUAGAAUUCAGGUGUUGAAUCCUAAUUGGUCGAAAAUAUCAACCAUAUUAGUUCAAGUGUAUAUUUAAGCCUCGGCUAAGAUGCCAUUAGACCUUCCAAUCACAUGAAUGAUGUGUUGAAGUCCCUAGAUAUGCACAUUCACGGUAUCUGCUCUAUGAGCAUAAAAAGUGAAGCAUAAGAAAGAACAUCAGUAACAAUAUUGUAUGACCGAUGUCACUAAAUGUCUAAUCUGUGGAUGUGUAGGCAUGGAAGCAUUUUCAAUCAGGAACAGUGGAACAGUUGAUGGAUCCAAAUAUAACUCUGGACAGAUACGCAGAUGGCGAUGCUGUGAAAGAGGAAGUGAUGAAGAUGUUUCAUGUUGGACUUCUAUGCACCCAGGAGAUCCCGACAUUUAGGCCGUCGGUCUCUUGUGCAUUGCAGAUGCUAUUGGAUCGGGAGAAGCAGCCACCUGCACCCACCAAACCACCUUUUACUGAUGAUGCUUCCAUGGAGCUAAAUGAAACCAAGGAAAACGUAGAUUGGCCUCGAGAUCCUUCCUCCAUUGCCAAUGUCUCAACCGGCUCCUAUGAUCCACGAUGACAGUCUCCAGUCUCCAUGGUGAUCUACGAGUGUCUCCAUAUGGGGAAUAGUAUGCUAUUCCUAGGUAGAUUAUAAGACUCAAAACCAAAUAGGUAUGACCAUGAUAUAUAGAUUUGAAGAAGUGGCACCAAAAGGCACAAAAUCUAGCAAGUGUGAUGUGAAGAUGCUGGUUUUAUUCUUGUUUGUGGGUUUUUAGGAAACGAUUUUAGUAAGUCUACUUGUAUGGAGAGUGAUUAGUCUUUUUUUUUAUAAAUUAUAAAAAAAAAUUAUUAUACCAAAUGACAUAUAUGACAUUUACACAUGGAUUCAUUUUUGUAAUAAUGCACUAAUCAACACGAAUGUCUCGGUAGAGUUGGAGGAUAAAUAGUUAGAUGUAGAAGUUGCGAAUGUUAUGUUUUCUAUCAUUUUUGUAAUAAUGCAUAAUGCACUAAUCAAUACGGAUGUCUUAGUAGAGUUGGAGGAUAAAUAGUUAGAUAUUAAAAAUUUGAAUGCAAUAAUAUGCAAAUAACAAUCACUAUUAUGACGAUAACAUAGACGGCCGAAGAAGGUCUCGGGAUGAUUUCUCAUGAGAAUAACUCUCUUGCGGAUCUCGUCGGACUUCAAAAAACUUAUGCGAGGUCUCAAGAUGAUCUCUCAUGAAAAUAUCUCUCUUGCGGAUCUUAGCGAACUUCAAAAAACUUACACACUUUACGAAGAAUCUUGACGAAAUCUCAUGGACCCUCUGCAACUUGACGCUCCACAUCUUUCAUUUUGCUAAGAAGACCAACACAGACGAAUGAAACCAUAUUGCAAGACAGCACAACUCCCUGGCUCACAAGCUAACAAAUUUCCCAAGACAACUAACCUUCUUUUGUUGGAGAAGCAAUUCGCCACCUGACUCUUUAUGUAGAACUCUUUAAUCUAAGUUGACAUAUUUUCCUUUAAUCAAUCACGGUUUUGGCAGCAUCAUUCCACACUUCAUGUCCAUGAUUCAACACUUCAGUCGAUUCAAGGUAUCUCUCGUACAUCAUGCGAUAAUUGAAUCACUUUGUACACAUCUAUUCACCAAAACCAUCAAUUUUUGUUGGCUUGAGAUACGCAAAAAGAAUGCAAUGCAAAUCUCUAGCCAAUAAUAACAACAACCAGCAAGCACAAAAGAUCCAACGAGCUUACCCAUAAACUUCACUGGAUAGAGUGGAUAAGAAGGUUUAUCCAGUUAGCAAAGACCAACAAACGGCGCAAGCAAAGCACGACAUAUAUGUACACACAUGCUUAACAAGUAGCAUAAGGUCCCGAUGCCUACUGCUCAAAACCAUCUUCUUCGCCAUCAUCAUUGAGCAUUAUUAGAUCCUAGAAAAGACUUCUAAUAACCCCCUUGGAUAUAUGCGUUGAGGCGGUUCAGCUCCUCACGAUGCUCGCUCACCACGGCUCGAACAACAUCACCGAUGGAGACCAUGCCGAUCAUACCGUUGUUGUCAAUCACAGGGAUGUGCCGGAUGCGGUUAUCUAUCAACAAAGAAGACCACAACACAUUGAUGUCACUUUGUAUAGCCACUACUUACAUGCAACUAAUGGUAUGUAGAACACAGCAAACCUGUCAUAAGUUGCAUUGCCCGCAGAACUUUGGUAUCUGGUGUCACAGUGAUCAAUUUGUUCUGGUCACAAGAGGCCAAUGAAGUUUUAGCACGACAGGAAAAAGAAAUGCAAGUGAAAGAAGUACUUCACUAUUUGUUGAUUUUAAGGAGAGCAGCGUUUGUACAACUCCACCAUAGAGAUUAUUAUUUGCUGCAAAUUCUGCUCCUUAUAUGAAUUAUUCAGAUCAGUAUAGCAUAAUUUUGAAUACCGGGGCAAAGGAAAUGGACAAUCUUAUUUUAAACAAGCAGCAUAUUGCAACAAUAGCAGCUCGAAGUUACCUCCUCAGUCAUGAUGUCUCCAACUUUAGUUGAUUUGGACGAUCUGCCCUGGACAAUGAUCUUCCGGAGAUAAUCUGAAAAAUGAAAAUCUUCAUCCUUAGUGAAUGUCCAAAAUUGCACAUCCACAUGAAGAUGAUUGAGGAACAAUUACUGUGAAUAGCAGAAUGAUAAUUGUAUUUGCCAGAACAAAUCAUUAGAAACGGUUCUCUAAUUUUUCAUUCAUCUUUUUCAAAAAAAAUUCUUGUCAUCUAGCCUUGUGAGUCUCUAAUUGAGUGACACACAACCCAAUGGCUCUGGUGGUACACUUGUGUGCCUCCACUUGAGUGUCCAAAAACAAGUUUGCCUUUGGCGAAACUGCCACUAGAUUCUAGUGGUACUCCACCACAGAACUUUUAGGUCUGCAUAAGGCUCUCAGCUUAUUUCUCUAGAGAAGUAGAUCUUCCACCAGCCACUAAAUUAGACCACAUUUUCUUCUCCUUUUUUGUGCCUGAACACAGGCAUGUGCAUGUGUGUACAUUUGCGCAUGCAAGAAAAGGCACAUUAGUUCCGUGUGAAUAUAUGUUUUUGUACAAGUAGCAAUUCACCAUUAUCAAAAUAGUGUGUCGAAUAGUGACUACCUCUCUCAGUGACAAUCCCAGCAAUUGCCUUGUCUUCUCCAGGUUUCACCACCACUAAAGCACCAACAUUGUGUUGUGUCAUCUGAAAAUGCUCAAAGCAAACAGGGCAAUUUACAUGAAUAACAGCAGUAAUGUGCAUAUGCUUGUAAAUACCAUAUAUGUCAGGUUUCACAACACAAUCCCAUGCCAAACAAUUAACAAUCAAAUAUUAUGGUUAAGAAAAAUCAUACCGACUUCACAGCAUCAUAAACACUGUCAUCAGUUGUGCACCACAGCCAGGAACCAUCAGCACUCUUGCCUUUAGCUUUCAUAAUAUCCCGGAUGGUGGUGCUUUCAAAUCCAUGCUCUUCCAAUCGAGCAGAAGAAACUGACUCAAAACGUGAAAACACAGUAGGUAGCGUGGCUGGGUUCAUGACACGAAUAUGUUGGAGCAUAGCAUUUUUAAUAACAUUUCCAUGCAAUCGUAAUGAUCGGAGUGCUCCCUGCAUUUCUCCUGGCAAUUAAUGGUGCAGUCAUUAGACCAUUUGAUUAUCCAACUCUAAAAGAAACAAGCAUCUCAUCUCAGAAUCCACCAUACUCAUGCAGCUUAAAGGAAAGAUACACGAUGAAAGACUUGCUUCAACGAUUAAAGAAUGGAACAAGACAUAAGGCAUGGAAUAACAAACCAUUUCCUUUUGGAUUGCAUAUUAUCCUUUUAAAAUAACAUCCUUCACCGUCCACGAGACUAAUAAUAGAACUUCAGAACGAGACUAAUACUAGAACUUCAGAAGAAAAGUCCAUAACAUGGAGCCUGAUCUUUGAAAAAAGGCCAAGGUUAGCUUUUAAAAAUCACAUGUUUAAUGCUGUUCUGAACCUUCCAACUAUCUUGUCUAACUUGCUCCUGGAAAAUCAGUUUCGGUCUAUAGAUUUACGAGCAGGCUAGCUUCAGGAAAGUCAAUCUGUAACAGGCAGAGAUAUAGAGAUGACACAGCGGUACAUUGUGUCACACUACCGGAAGCUUGCCAGUAACUUUUGCCAACAGAAGCUUACCAUAUUGCAACAAUGCAGAAGCAUGAUGGCUUGCAAACAUCCUCUUCGUUCAAAAUAUUUCUCAUCUCCAACGAAGCCACAAAAGAUCCAGCUCGAGAAGUUUCAUGUGGCAUGCAUCUUAAAUCUUACCAUCCUGAUGGUACUUGAACAACAGCAUAAAGCUUGGAAGUGAGUCCACCUCAAAAAGACAAGACUAAGGUCUUUCAAACCCAGCCGCUAGUACUACACACUAGUUAUAUUUAGUUGAUUUAUUUGUAGCUUUUGAGAUGAGUAUUGCUUCCUAGAUAACAAGCUUGUCAUUUGUAUGAGAUUCUAGGCUAUUUUUGUUCUGGAGAUGUCUUGAAAGUCUCGACAGAUUUUUAGGAACCAUCAAAAAGCCCCUCAGAUUUUUUAAACAACACGUCCUUCGCAAGGAACUUAGCACCGACAAUUGCGGUAGACAUCAACAUGUGUCAUAAACAUUUUCAAAGCAAAAUGCCAACCUUUGUACAGAUCCAAGACUGAAAUCACUGUAAUAAACUGCCUUAUGUAGCUUCUCCACCCUUAUCAGCUAAUGAAAUCUCAUCCACAACUUGUAUUCCGCUCCUAUGACUCGAUUUUACAUUUCAAUCAAAAGAGGACAAAGCAAUACGCUCUCGAUCCACACCACCUAAUUGUUUUGAUAAACGAGAUCUCCAUUUCUUUUGAUCAUUUGGUUCUACGUUUUGAUCAAACAAGUGUUCAAAUUUCUCCUUUCUUAUUCCUCCUAUUUUUUAUAAGAAAAAAUAACAGAAAGAAAAAAUAUUACGAGACCGAAAAAAAUCCGCACUUUUUCACGGCCUUAAACAUACACUCUGCUACUCAUUUGUAUCAUCAUGGGAGACAUUCUCAGAAAACAAGGAGGCAAAUAUCUCACCCACAAAGUACUGGAGAUCUGGACGGGAUCAGAUAAGGAGAGAUCGGAAUCUCCCACAAAAGCUAAAAGCUUUAAACGAUAGGAAAGCAACCACGGACAAACAAAAACGGCUGGAAGAAAAUUAGAGUGAAACGAUGAAGAAAUAUCACGCUGCUGCUGCUGCAAAUCGUGCAUAAAGGAUGAAAGAGUUGACCGAAGGAGAAGGCAGGCGGUCAGUCUACCCGAGGGGUCUCACCUCGAGAAGGAAGGCGGUCUCACCGACCGAUAUGGACGGAUCGAUCGUGUGAGAGAGAUAGAGAGUUGAUAGCAGAGGAGUGGAUAGGGGAGCGUCGGCGGCGGCGGCAGGGCACACAAGGAAACCCUCAUAAAUGAAGUCGCCUUCCUGUCAUAACAACGUCGCUUUAUGGGUGUCGUCAUUAAUGCGCAUAAACAACCAAAUGAUACGUCAGUUGAUAACUACGCAUCUUUUCUUCCUAAUCCGAACCAAUGACUUGCAGGAAGCCCAAUGACCCAACUAUUUUAGUAAUCUUCCACAAUAUUCCUAAUAACAUUAUGACUAAAUAUUUGUUAUAUUUUUAGUAUCUCUUUAUUCAUUAUUAAUUUUUUUACCAUAACUAAUUAUUUGAAUAUAUUUCUGAUAUAAUAAAAUUAUUUUGAUGAUCAAUUAGUAUAUGACAUCUAUCGUCACGUGGAGAUUGGCACGGAAGGAAAGAGUCUCUAUCACCUUUCAUUCGGAUGACCGUUCAAGCUUGUCUCAUCUCUAUCGCCUAUGCAAACAAAAUGUCAAAGGAGGAAGUUGUGAUGGUUAUAGGCUUGUCUCCUCUUUUGACUACGUAUAAAAGCUAUACUCGAUACUAUGCCAAUGACUUUCUUUUCCAGAAAAAAAUUGAUAUAUCAAAAGAACCUUGGACUAACUUGAACAUCGGAAGGAUCGGGUCAGAAAGCGUCUUCCGACAUCGGUCUUAAUAUAAGUAAUGCUCAAGAAGCUCAGCUCCCACCCCGGAGCCACUCAAGAACUACUUUAGAGUCAUAUUGGAUGUUUUUGUGCCCUCAGGCUUGGACCACGUUGGGUCGACUCAAAUGUCAAUAACAAAUUCUCAUAAUAUUUUGGCUCUAGAAGGAGGGUUUGAUGUCACAAGAACAUCUACUCAUUAACCCUCUCAACGAAUGCUCCAGCGAGGAGGCAUUGCCUCCAAUCCAUAACACUUUUACUCAAGGGGUAUAACCUCUGUCCUUCCCUCACAUGGAUGCGUCUACUUAAGUGCAAACGCUGACAUGAUACUAACGUAUGUUCAAUGACCCAGGUCUCUCACCCUUGGGGACAAAUUCAAGCCACCUGUUUAUUCCAAUUGAAGUAUUCUUGAACCUCACCUAUCAGGUACAAACACUCAUGGGCAUGAUGUAGGCUAUCCCCCACUCUUGCGUUAGCUAGCCCAAUAAGUAGCACCAUCCUCUUAGCUAUGAUCAACACCUUAACCACCAUUGCCUCCGACACCUAUCGAAGUCCCCUCAACUAACACAGUACCAACCUUUCAAGAUCUCUCGAGGUUCUUCGGGCCCAUAACCAAAAGAGCACCCCGCUCCCCAAUGGUGGAGUUCAGCGCACUGUCAUAGCACCACCCUACCUCACCCGAGUCUGAGACCCAAUUGGUAGAUUCAAUGGAUGACUCCCUAAAUCCAACUAUAAGAAAUGGAUCAAGUAUGGACGAGAUGCAACGAGAGCUCUAGUAGUCCAAGGGGAGAACCCACUCGAUCCUACCUUGGGUUGCUCCCCCAUUUGCUUAGAUCAUUCAAGAAGAAUCAAUCCCGACUAACUUCCACCUUCUAUCACUAGAAGCCUUUGAUAAUAGCACUAACCCAAUUGUGCAUACUAACCUUUCAUGCCCAGAUGUCUCUCUUUGGCACCUUAGACACUUUGAUGUGUCAUGUGUUCUCGAUGACAUUAAGGGGCCCAGCAUGAGAGUGGUACACUUAUGUGAAACCACUCUCAAUUAGCUCCUUCGCUAAUCUUAUAAGGAAAUUUGAACUCUACUUCCUCAAUAAUAUAUGUCCAAGGCAAUUGAUGAUGAAAUUGCUUGGGCUCAAGCAAAGGAAGGAAGAGGCACUCUCUAACUUCAUCGCUUAGUUCACCAAUGAGAUCCGAAACGUGCAAGAGGCCUAUCCAUCACUCAUGAUUCAAGCUUUCAUGAUAGGGCUUAAGUCCCCUCACCUUUUCUGGUUAUUGGUAGAGAGGUCAUCGAUGACUAUACCCAAAGCCUUCCAGAGAGCCAAUCAAUACAUAGCCCCUAAGGCGAUGGUCUCAAGCAAGUACGAGGAGACAUGCAAAAGUUCGUAACAUGAGCAACCACCAUUGACUUUGGCCUAAAGAUCGCCUCGACGAGGAAAGUAAGAAUGACCCAAGUCGCCUUGCUCGAGACCCGAGCUGAUCCCCCUUAACAUGAUGAGAAAAGUCUAAUAAAGUAAGAAAAAUUUUGGGUUAUACCCUAAGGAGCUAGGUUGAGACCUACAUCGACCAACUACUCCUCAUCCAUCUUUUAGACUGUCUUAAAGGAAAAAAAAAAUAUCCCUUAAUCGAAGCACUUGAUUUGCUUCCUUAUCCAACAGGAAGGAAGGGGUGCUAUCAAUAUAGUGCACCGACGAAGUAAGGUUGAAUCCUUAAUCUUAACUCAAACUCAUGAGAAAGAAGCGCUCCUUUUAGCCUUUAUUGUUGAAAGGGGCACUGCUAACUUUGAAACACUUUCGAGUGGCUAGAUAGUAGCCAAUUUUUCCCUUGCAUAAAUGGAAAUAGGUGAAAAAGAGGGUGCAGACUAGAGUAAUGUCGGCACACCGACAUUACCUGAUAAACUCUAUCAGAAGCAUCAUGAGUUGGGUGCCAUUUGGGAGGAUGAUAUCCUCCGUCAUUAAAAAUAAGACACUAUCACUAGGUGAAAAUGAAGUUGAAGGCCUGCCUCGAGAGUGUCACAAGACAAAUAAAAGGACCCUUAGAUAGGAUCGGACGAGCGUUGACAAGGCCGAGGAACUUGUGGGUUGAACUCGGCUAAGAUACAAUAUAUAGCUCUCAAGUGAUCUAAGAGAGAUGCACUUACUAUUGAGUCAUAGUCAUGAGAACUUCUCAUAGACUCAAAAUCUUGAAGAACCAUCGAGUUCAUAGGAGAGGCCCCUUCCGAUAAGGAGGACCCAACUUUCUUUGCCCUCGGACUACUUGAAGAUGAAGCAUAAACCUUGAUCAGUUGACGGAUAAAGGAUCGAAAAGAUUUUAUACAAGAAGGGAGAGAUAUCCCGAGCCUAAGAUUGAAGAGUAGAACUAAUGCCGAGACGGAGGAUUUAAAGACCCGCUUGCCUUGUCGAGAACUGAGGUGAGGGAGGAGAUGCUCCUAAGGAGUCCUAGGGGUGAGACUGAGAACUCUCAAGGCUCUAAAGACUCUUAGCUCUAGAGACUCAGAUGAAAGAAUAAAUCCCACCCCACAGGGAGAGGAGAUUUAUAAGGAGAAGGUCGAUCUCUCUCCUCAUGCGAUCAAACCAAGUGUCUCUUCGAGGGCAAAUCCAAAGAGGCCUAUCACGGUGAGAAGGUCUGAGAUCUGUCACGAUAGAAAGAGAACUCGAAACCUGCCACAAUGGAAUGAGAACUGGAGGCUUGCAGUGGUAGAAAGAUUUAAAAAUCUAUUAUGACGGAAAGAAGAUAAAACUGCUAUAGUAGAGUCAUAGGGUCAAACAUGCCCAAGAUGUAUAAGUUGGGAGAUCUGACUUAUGUUAAGAUAAAUCCGCUAAGGUGGAAGUGCAAGGCCAAAUAUAUAUAAGGCAUGUGAGCCAGGAAACCCGACCCGUAUUAAGAUAAAUCCACUACGACGGAGGUGAAGGGCCAAAACAUGCCCGAAGCAUGUGUUAGGAAACUUGAUCUGCACCAAGAUAAAACUAGCUAUGGUGAAGGCAUAAGACCAAACGUGCCCGAGGCAUGUGAGUUGGAAACUUGACCCACAUCAAGAUAAGUCCACUACGACAGAGGCAUAAAGCCAAACGUGCCCAAGACAUGUGAGUCAAGAAACUCGACCCAUGUUAAGAUAAAUCCAUUAUGGCGGAGGCAUAGGGCCAAACAUGCCCCCGAGGCAUAUGAGUCAAAAAACUUAACCUACAUCAAGAUAAAUUCACUAUGAUAAAGGUGUGGGGCCAAACGUGCCCGAAGCAUGUGAGUCGAGAAACCUGACCUAUGUCAAAAUAAAUUCAUUAUGAUGAAGACAUAAGGCCAAACAUGUUUGAGGCAUGUGAGUCGAGAAACCUGACCCACAUCAAAAUAAAUAUGUUAUGGUAGAGGCGUAGGGCCAAAUGUGCUUGAGGCAUGUUAAACGAGAAACUUGGCUUGCAUCAAGAUAACUCCGCUAUGGUAGAGAUCUAGUGCUCAACAUGCUCGAGGUGUGUGAAUCAAAAAAUCCAACCAAUGCCAAGGUAAAUCCUCUACGAUGGAGGUGCAAGGCCAAACAUGCCCAAGGCGUGUGAGUCGAGAAAUUUAACAUGCACCAAGAUAAAUCCACUAUAGCGUAGACGUAGGGCUCAAGGUGCCCGAAGUGUGUGAGCUAGAAAAUCUGACCCACACCAAGAUAAAUCUGCUAUAGCGAAGACGUAAGGCCAAAGGUACUCAAGACACAAGUCUAAAAACCCAACCCACACUUAUUGGCAUCUCCAUCGUGUGACGAAGAAAUAAGUUGACGAUAGGCUUGCCAAAUGAAUUGACCAUCAUACUCCGAACCCCUCUAACAUGAGCCCCAAAAGAUGACUCAAGAAGAACAAAUUAUAGAGAACAUUUUUAUGGCCAAUCACUAUCCGACAUCUGUCAUCACAUGGAGACUAGCGUGGAAGGAAAGGAUCCCCGUCACUUCUACCUGCUUGCCCCCAUGGACAAUAGUUUAAGAGAGAUUAUUCGGGUGAUCGUUUAGGCUUGUCUCCUCCCUAUCGCCCAUAUGACAAAACAUCAAAGGAGGAAGUUGGGGCAGUUGCAGGCUUGUCUCCUCCCUUGUCCAAAUAUAAAAGCUAACCCUCGUCGUUAUGUCGGGAGCUCUCUUUCCCAAAAAAAAAUGGAUACCCUGAACGUUAGAGGGAUCGAAUUAGAAAGCAUCUACCGACAUCGAUCUUAGUACAUGUGGCGCUUAGGAAGCUCGACCCUCGCAUCAGAGCUACUUAGGAACUAACUCUGAUCACAUCAGAGCCACUCAAGAACCACCUCAGAGACACUCAAGAACUAUCUUAGAGUCACGUUGAAUGCUCUUGCACCCUCGAUCUCGGACCAUGUUAAGUUGACUCAGAGAUCGACGAUAAAUUUUUCUGACAUGUCUAACUCGUUUUUCGAGUACUGAGAGACAAUUAAGUCUCAGUAAGUUCACGUAGAAAUAAGUCUUGAAUUCAUUCUACUGCAUAUAAUAUGACGAUAAAAAUAGAAAAGACAAAGGAAAAAAAGGAAAAGGACUCCAUAAACAACACGGUUAACUCAAUCAAAGACGCUGUCGACAUAACAAUAAGAUCAGUCUUAUCCUUGUACUUCUCUUGCAGGUGCUGCUGUAUCUAUCAGCUAACGCUGAGCAAUCUCUGGAUCCAAUUCUCCUUGCUGUGCUUAACCCAUGGCAUACUUCAGCGUCCAGCUCCGAGCAGUGGACUCAUAUCUCAUACGAUCGUUCUUGCACAGAUGAGCGAUCUCAGGCACCAGCGGAUCAUCGGGGUUUGGAUCCGUGAGCAAGGAGCAUAUGGACAGCAGCACCUGCACGCAGCGUUCAUCAAGGAGGAGGAGGAGGAGGAGAAGUAGACUGCAGAGACGUACGUGUGAAUCACCUUACCUUGGAUAUGGUCAAGGCUGGACUCCAUUGAUCUUUGAGUAUGUCCAAGCAGAUGUUGCCGUUGUUGUUGAUGUUGGGAUGGAAGACCUUGGUCCUGAAUGCUACCUACUCGCAACACAUCAUGCUCAUAAAGGAGAGUUGGACUUGGAUCGAGUUAGUACUGAAACAACGGCGAGAGUAAUUACCUUGGGAGGUUUGAAGGGAUAGUCUGGUGGGAAGUGGAUGUUGACAAGGAAGACGCCGCCAGCAUAUGGGCUGUCGUUAGGCCCCAUGAUGGUGGCUUGCCAGUGGAACAUGUCAUCAGCCACAGGUCCUGAGCAAAAAACCCAAAAGCAACAACACAAUGAUCAUGGCACUAGAAGCUGUGUUAGUUAACAGGAAGGAGGAGUAGCUGAGCCUGACGUGUGCACCUGCACUGCACGAAGUUGGUGGGUCUCUCUGCAGGUCCUUCAACUCCUUAAUUAUCCUCCUCGACGCCAUUGAUCAUGCCGAGGAAGAAAGAAGAAGAAGAAGAACCUUGGAGUUCGGAACGGCGUUGAGUAGCGCUGACGACGGGGGAGGAGUUAUAUAGCCAAAGUAGUCCCUGGUGUUGGUGAUGCUGUUUGUGGUAGUGUUGAAGGUGGGCUCUACGAAUCGGAUGCUUGAAAGCAUUGAGAGCAGAAAGUAGGCACUAAGCAUCGCCGAGAAGAAACAGCUGUAUUGGGACGGGAAAGGAACGAGGGGAUCUCUUUCUCUUUGGCUUUCCAAUGGCCACAUUUCAACCUCGAGGGAUGCUUGCCGUGUUGGCCUUCGUCUCUAUUCGACACUCGUAACCAUCUAUCUUCAAUUUUAUUCCCUGCAGUUUAUCGAAGAAAAAGAAGAACUCAAUCCUAUUAACUCUGAAUGCUUUUUGGGUACGCCUUGUGAAAGAAUACAGACUGCUACAGGAAAUUGCGGUAGCUAAUUAGCUCACAACAUGAUUGACACAGACUGCUACACAUCAUAAUUAGAAACAUGUAAAUGAAAACACCAACCAGAGAACGUCCACACCAAAAACAUGGAGAUUUACAGAGAUCUAAUUAAGCAAUUGGAUAUAAGGAGAAUAAUGGUUUUGUGCAAGGAAAACUGAUUUCAACAAUUUCCGACACAACGUUAUAUCGUUAUCUGAAGAUACAUGCUCUAACCAGUCGAACACAUAAUCAGAAAAGAAAGCGAUCAUCGCGAGAUGGUUCCGUAUUUUGUCACCUCUCCCGGUAUACACGAAGCAGAAAACAACCUUAAGAAGAUCGAGAUUGAAUACCAGCGGCACGUUUCUGUUCAUCGGUUCAAUGAUCACAAGAUGGAGCAUCCCUUGUGUGCCUUAUUCUUCUUUUUCUUCUGCAUGGAUGGUUGAAGUGCUGCCUUGAUGGCUGCAUCAAAUACUGCCUUGAUAUUCUGCACAUCAUAUUUUAUAUCAACAUAGAUAGCUAGCAAUUACACAGCAAUGACUCCAAAGAUGAGAGCAGUGGAAAUAACUUACUUGUUGGGUCUUUGAACUGCACUCAACAUAUGACGGAGCGUCAAUAAGCUUCCUCAGCUCUUCACCCUUGUAUAAUAAGAAAAAGAACAAAGCAAGAAUCAUCAUAAGCUACUUUUGCGCAUGAUGACCAACAAAUAGAGACAGAGAAAGAGAGAGUACCUGAGCAGUGGUAAUGGGAACAGCACCUGGGUGAUCUAUGAAAAACUGCUGAUCAUCUCGAAGAUCUGCAAACAAUUCCAUGUAUAUUUAGUUGGAGCAAGUACAAAUGUAAAGAACCAAUCACGCAAGUACUAGGAAGUACACCAGGCUAGAAAUGGCUCUCUAUGCGAAGACUCAAUAUCGGAAAAUUAACACACACCAGAAUGGUUUUCAAAGUAAAACAUGGUGAAAAGUUCUGAAAAUUUUAGUCCUGAUGCAAUCAGAAAGCCCUUAAAAGCUAGCGUUUUGUGAGUCCUGAACUAAACUAGCAUGCAACACUUCAAAAGUCCCGGUAGAUCUGUUUUGGAGUGCUCCCUUACUCCUGGUCCUUCAUAGCAUUCCACACACCAUCAUGACAAAGCCACAAAAAAUCAAAUGUUUUCUAGGAAUGUUAGCUUCCUGCUGAGCCUUCCAACAGCUAAGAAAUGUACAAGGAGUCCUGGAGUUCCUAACUGCAAACAUAAUUAACCUCUAAACUUGAUGACAUCAACGCAAAAGGUGUAUACUGUUCUUCGACCAUUGAAGGAAAAAAAGAGCACAGUUACUAUGCUAAUCAGCCUUUGCAAUCAAGCAGCUUAGCUGUAUGUAAUUGCAUACUGUUCUUCAACCAUUGAAGGAAAAAAAAGAGCACAGUUUGUGUCCAAAAUGAUUUUUCAAAUUUCAACUGCCAUCCAUGCAGGCUAAGAAACUUGUGAAAUCUCUUAACAAAGAAAUAUCUCAAAAAGCUUCCAUGUUGAUUACUAAUGAUCCUCAAUUCCAAGUUAUGAAGCUGUUCUAACUCAACAUGCAAAAUCCAUCAGGCUUAGGGCCCAAAUCAGGAACAGCUUCUUUGAACUCCAUAAGUGAGAAACUGCUUUCUAACCUCAAAAGAAUAUCAAGAAUCACAAGAAUGAUAUCGUCCCAGUUCUCACAAAACCCAGUUGUCAUGAGGAGAAAACAGUUCGAGAUGGAGUUCUCCAAAGGCUUUCUCAAUUUCAGCAUGAUCAUUCAAUAUUUGUCAUGCAAGUUCAGAUUAGAAUUGUUCUUUCUGCAUCUUCCAUUAGAUAUAGCAUAAAAGGUCUAGUAUUCUAAUCUCUGAACCAUGGACCCCCAAGCACAUCCUGGUAACCAGUUUAAUCCUUCAAACUUCACCUUGUGAUUAAAUCUUCAAACUCACAUGAAGUUAUCCCAGAAUCCAAUUUCCUUCCAUUUACCAGUUUUAAUAUCCUAUUCAAUUCUGCUCAUUUUGCAUGUGUACUACCAAAUUCAGAUAAUCAAAAUUAGGAAUCCAAUUUCUAAAUCCAUAAUAUACCUGUAUAAAUUUCACUUUAGAGGAUUAAUCAGGGUUAUCCUAUCAUAAUAAGGCUUGGUUUUGGGCUUAACUAGAGCAUUAAUUCCAUUUUUUCUUGAAAUAUUAAUAGCUAUGACUAAUUGGUUUUGACUAAGUUGGAGAUGUAAUUGACAGUUGAAGAAACAUGAAAUUAAGGGUUGACUUUUGGUUUUUCCAAUUAAUCAACCAAAAGACCCCAAAUAGUUUUAAGGUCAAAACCACCACAUUGUUUAUGUUGGAAUGAGAGAUUCAGAUGAAGCCUGGAAUAAUUUACAGAUUGUAGGUCGAACUUUAGCUCUGUUCAGCUUUAUAUCUACCUAUAUAAUAAUUCAUCCACAAUAAUCCUAAUUUGGAAUCCAUUCAAUGGAAACAAGAAGUCAACAUGAACCUAAACAAUGAAAGAAAAGUAUUUGAUCAGAGUUUUUAGACCUAUUCUCAGUUCAAUCAACUGUGUAGCUUAUGACUUAGCAAGACACUAUAAUAUCAUUUAAAAAUUAGCUUAAAUAACUAAAACACCAGGAUGAAGAAUUAAAAACGCCUAUCAUGUACCAUGAAACAAAUCUAGUAUCAAACCCUCAAUGUUAACCAAAAUUUUCAUGUUCAAAGCAUUAUGGUUUGGAUUCUUGAGCAUGAAGUUACUAUUGUAUCUAUUUUUGUUAGUUUGAAAAUAUCUGGCAUAUAGAGAUUAACAAAGAAGUAGAUUAGUGAUUCAAGGGUUGAGGGCCAAUUAUGGAAUAGGAGAUAUGGUGGUGGCGAUUGGGCAUGACAAAGACAUGGUAAUUGUUGGUUCCUGAGUGUCAUUGACCAUAGAGUCAACACGGCCUGGUUUAGUCCCGAAAGCGCGGACCUAUCCCAGUAGCCCAAACGGAUCGCUUGGGUGACAAGUGGACUCAUGAGGCUUUACUGGCUCGCGGCGACCAAUCCACGGUUAUUUCGAGAUGCGGUUCGCUUACUAAAUGAAGUUUAGAGUCAUCUCGAGGUGCGCCUUGACCUUGUCUAGUGAUGCUCCACGCCACCCCGGGGUGCUCCUUAGACACGUCGGGACCUCUACAUAAUUGGUCAACGUUAAGAGAUUUCCCGACCCGACCCCUCCGACGCUUAAGUCAGUAGAAAAAGUGGAGAAGAUUUAGCAGAGCUCAGGAGAGUUUAGGUUGAGUCCCCCCUCGUCUAGUUUCGGGGGCUGGCUUUUUUACCUGAUUUAUCGAUGGAGGGUGACCAGUUGUUUGUCCCCCUUUCAGCUUCUCAUACCAUUAAGGGUUCAUUUAUGUUGACGGCUAGUGAACACGUGUUCCCAUUGAUUAUGUUCGGGAAGGAUAGUUGGAGGCAUGUCGUUUGUUAGGGUAGGGUCAUGCCUGAAACGUAUAGGAGAUGGGGAUUGGCGUCAAGUGCCCGAAGAGUCGGGCCACGUCAUUGAUGCGACCUCUUCCGAAAUUAUGGCCAUGAGUGACGGAUCGCUUGCGACCAACGACGCAAUCGAGGGGAAGUUUAGAGGACGAGUUUGGUCACUGUGUACCGAUGGUUGACUUGUGCGACUUCUUCGAGGAUCAUGUUCCGGUUGGGUGACCGCGUGAGGCGACGAUGCGAGCUCUUGUGUGCGUGUCGAUUCCAAGUGAUGGCCCACGAAUGGCCGGUCUAGCACUGGAAUGGCUAUGCCAUUGCUUUCCCUCUCAUGCUUCAUUGGCCUUUUUCCGUGGGUCAAGACAGGUGGAGGCUGGUGGACCAUUUCCGUGAGUUGCUCAUGCCUUUGCUUAGGUGGCUUCUUUAGCCCAAGUGGCAGGGUGAGUUGGCAGCACUGUUAUUUUUCCUAUCAGUAAUGAAAGGCAGCGCCACAGCAGCAAAAACUUUCCCAUAUUAAUAUGAUAAACUAUUAUUCUAUUUUUCAGGACUAAUAUCCCAUUUUGUUUUGACAAAUGAACUCACAACUAGAAACAUUUUGAAUUUCCAAUCUACACAAAUAACACCAUAUAUUGACUAGAUGAACAUACAUGAGAAAAUAAUAUGGUUAUGCAAUAUAAAAAUCACAAACAAAUUAAUACAUUGGGGAAGAGUAUUACCGAGCUUUGUUCCAACAAGAAUUUGAGGCACACCAGGCGCAUAAUGCUUUAGUUCAGGAAUCCACUGAUGAGUUAAAUAGAAAAAUAAAAUAGAUGAGGAAAAGCAAAAGAAUGAAUAAAAUUUGGCAUGAUAUUAACAAAGAUUCAAACAAAAAAAGAACUAAUAUUGAUUUCUCACCUUCUUGGUCACAUUCUCAUAGCUAGCUUUACUUAUAAGAGAGAAUGCGAGCAGAAAAACAUCUGCACCUCGGUAGCUCAAUGGUCUUAAUCUAUUGUAAUCUUCCUGGCCUGUUCCACUAAAACCCAAUAUUAGGUCGGAUCCACCAAAACUUUAGACUAGAGGAAACAGCCAAUGCAACAAAAUAAAUGUAGCAGAAUAGAUGAUGAGGCUGGAAGAAAGAAAAGGUUGAGAUACCUGCAGUAUCCCACAAGCCUAAGUUAACUGUGCUACCAUCAACCACAACAUUUGCACUGAAAUUGUCAAAAACAGUUGGAACAUAAUCCUGCAUGCAAGGGGAAAAAAUUUAUAUGUUUGCACAAGAUGGCCACUGAAGUUAUUCAUUAAUCGGAAUCAUAUAAAAUCCAAAAUUGACCAAGUUAAACGGAAGCCAUGUCUUCCAAAGGAGACAACUAAUGGGACUCCAAAAUGAAUAAUAUUCCUUCAGAAGAGAUCCUACUUCUCAGAAAUUGAGAAAUGCUCGAUGUGGCUAAAAUUUCGAUUUCCGAAAUCUUGGGAGAAGAGGGAUAAAGUCUAGUGGCUAAAAAAUGAAGCAUGUCAUGAUAUUGAUUUGGAUCAUUUUGGAUUCAAAGAAUUUGGCAAUGAUGAAGAUGAUACGGAUGGAAAGUGGAUUACAUUAAUGUGCAGGUCUAUGUUUGUAUAUACUCACUGUAUGUGUAUAUGUAUCUUGAAUCAAACAUAAGAUACUUGUCAGAAAAUAAGAUUCAGGAAAGGUAAGCAAUCUUUUAUUUGAUCUAGCCCCGUCACAUUGCAUUUCAUUCAUUUGAAUGAAAAGGAGAAAAGAUUUGAACUCUGUGCAGCAGGCUUAUACAAAAUUCCUGCUACUGAAGAAACAAAGAAUAUUUCAUUCCAAUAUUUGCUACACUCAGUUAAAAUAAAUUUAAUGCAUUACUCAUUAAGUUCUUUACAUACUUGCAACAAAAUAAAAUCAAGGAACCUAAUUAGAUAUUUUAGUUAGAAUAUACUUUUCUAUAUCUGUAUUCCACCAUUUUUAACAAAAUGAGAUGAAAGUAAGGGAGACUUCUUAAGUUAAAAACCACAUUCCUAUAAUCCUUCCUCAAAAUCUAAAAUAAAAGUAAAAUCAAAAGUUUCCUUUUCGUUUUUCUUUUUAGUCAGACAUUUGGUGCCAUUAGCCAACUAAAUACAAAAUGAAAGCCAACAUUGCCUCAGAUCAACCAAACAAACCAUGAAAACAACAAGUGGGCAGAAAAGGAAGCGUUUUUCCAUCUACAUUCCCUUGAACAACCUCAAAAAGAAAAGAUUUCCCAAUUCCGCUCCUUUCCCUGUGCCUAUUUCCCGAAAAUCAAACCAAAAACGAAACAAAGCCCCCUCCUCUUUCCUAAUUAUAGAGGAAAACCAUAAAUUCGUUUUGCCUUUCUGUGUGUGUGCGUGUUUGUCAUCACCUACCGUGGGGAAAGUAUUGCUGGUGUAGGAAAUAAGCAUGCAGGUCUUGCCGACGGCCCCGUCGCCCACCGUGACGCACUUUAUAAACCUUGACGCGCUCAUCUCCUCCACCGACCCCCUCGCCCUUCAGCCUCCGACGCUCCACGUCGGCCGAAGGCCUUACGCCGAGAACAACCGGCGAGCCUUUGCGUACCUCCGUCAAAAGACAGAGAGCGAUUCCGACAAACCCUAAAUACAGAGUAUAUCCACUAUUAAAAUGAUCUCUUCUUUUUGCCUUUGUUUCCUGUUUUUCCCUCUUCAACUUUUCAUUUUCUCUUAUGAGAGAGAGAGAGAGGGGGAGAGAGAGAGAAUGCAGGUUUGGGUUUGAUUGAGUUGUGCGAGAGGAAGAGUUGGAGAAGGGAGGAAGCGGGAGCCGCGAAAUGGUGCGGUUGACGCGGUCGUAGAGAGAUGGGAAACCGCUGAGGAUAUAUAUAUAUAUAUAUGUGUGUAUAUAUAUAUAUAUAUAUAUAUAUACACAUAUAUAUAUAUACAUAUGUAUAUAUGUAUAUAUAUGUAUAUAUAUUAUAUAUAUAUACAUAUACAUAUGUAUAUAUACAUAUACAUAUGUAUAUAUAUACAUAUAUAUAUAUAUGUAUGUAUAUGUAUAUGUAUGUAUAUACAUAUAUAUACAUAUACAUAUAUAUAUAUAUAAUAAAUUAGUGGCUCGCUCUCGCAAAGCAGAGUUAAAUUAGCAAUUAAAGAGCAAUAGAGGGAAAAGAGAUGUAAGCAAGGCGAGUCUGCUGCGGCCGCCCGUCCGCCGGGCCCCGCGUGGCGUCGCACCGGCGGUACAGCUCACAGAGAAGUCGAGCUUCAUGAGGCUCGUCUCCGACGACAAUAGGUUGGGCCGGCAGUUGUUGGAGAGGUCGAGCGUGGUGAGGCUCGGCAUCUUCAGUAUCUCCGGCGGGAUCUCACCCCAGAACCUGUUUGAUGAAAGUUUGAGCGUGUUCAGGAUCGGCAGUGCCGUGAUCUGCACCGGUAUCUCACCCGUCAACCUGUUCCGACUGAGAUCUAACGAGACGAGCGAUGCGCAGUGGGCAAGAUCGAUGGGGAACUCGCCGGUCAGCUCGUUCCCACUCAAGUUGAUCAUGGCCAGUGCCUUGAGACGACCGAUCUCCGGUGGGAUCUCGCCGAACAUCCUGUUAAUGUUGAGUUCAAGUCUUUCGAGCGCGGAAAGGUUGCUAAUCGCCGGCGGGAUUGAGCCGGUUAUCGAGUUGUUGGAGAGGAUGAGCAAGCGGAGUUUGUCUCCCGCGAUCACCGUCGGCAAUUCACCGGAGAGGUUGUUGUCGUUGAGCUCGAGCAUGUCGUUGGAGGGCAGAUCGAAGAGCCCGGCGGGGAUCGACCCGUUCAAGGAAUUCUUACCGAGUCGGACCCGAGUCAGCGACUUGCAGCCGCCGAGCUUCUCGGGAAUCGGCCCGACGAGGCCGUUGUCCAUCAGAACCAACAUCUCGAGCCUUCCGCCGGCGCAGAGAUCGCGCGGAAUCGUCCCGGUUAUCCGAUUCGACGCCACGUCCAGCGUCACCAGCCGGCCGUUCAUGCCGAGAGAUUCAGGGAGCUCGCUGCUGAAGUUGUUCUGAAAUAACUUGAGUUCCACGAGACUCGGUAGCUCCCCGAUGAACGGUGGAAUGAUACCUCGGAGAUGGUUCAUGAAAAGGUUCAAUAGCUUGAGCUCCUUCAGCUCCGCGAAGCUCUCCGGUAUCUCGCCCGUCAACUCGUUGAUGGAGAAGUCGAGGAACUCCAACUGGCUGAGUCCGCCGAGUUCUGGCGGUAUAGAGCCAUUGAGCCGGUUGAUCUGGAGAAAUAAGCUGUCGAGACGCUUCAACUGGCCGAGACUCGCGGGUAAUGUGCCGGAGAGGCGGCAUCCAGCCAUGUCGAGUCGAACCAACGACGACAGCCUCCCAAACUCCCAGGGUAUCCCGCCUUCGUACUUGUUGUAGUACCCGAUGUACAUCUCCUUGAGCUUGGAGAGCCGACUGAGGCUGGGCGGGACGCGCCCGGUGAGGGAGUUGCCGUUGAGGCCGAGGUAUUCGAGGUU